ensembl:antisense Gm12828 predicted gene 12828
GGGAAACCCUGGAUGUUAGUUGAGGGGGGCUGAAGCAAGACCCUGAGGCAUCCCGAGACAGGUGUCUACAUUCAUUCUCUCCACGUCUCACUUCCAAUUUACUAUCGCUCUGUAGCGUCUAGCUCCUGCAGCUGAAAUCAUGGCUGCCAAAUGUGACAGCGGUGGCUGCCCUGCCUCUUGCCCCUGCCCUUCCUGCUUCAGCUCCCAGCUACUGCUCUAGCAUCAUGCCUGCCUGCCUGCCUGUGGUCAUGCUCCCUACCAUGAUAGUCAUGGACUCACCCACUGAAAC